rnacentral:rRNA from 1 species
UACGUAGGGGGCGAGCGUUGUCCGGAUUUAUUGGGCGUAAAGAGCGUGUAGGCGGCCAGGUAGGUCUGCUGUGAAAACUCGAGGCUCAACCUCGAGACGUCGGCGGAAACCAUCUGGCUAGAGUCCGGAAGAGGAGAGUGGAAUUCCUGGUGUAGCGGUGAAAUGCGCAGAUAUCAGGAAGAACACCCGUGGCGAAGGCGGCUCUCUGGGCCGAUACUGACGCUGAGGAGCGAAAGCGUGGGGAGCAAACAGG